GGGAGUUUGGCCGAGUGGUUAAGGCGUCGUGUUUAGGUCCAUUGUCUCUUUCCAAGACAGUUACCGUAGAUAAAAACUUUUCCGCGAUGGGAAACCGCGCAGGUUCGAAUCCUGCAGCUCUCA